UACAGAGGGGGCAAGCGUUGUUCGGAAUUACUGGGCGUAAAGGGCGCGUAGGCGGCCUGCUAAGUCGAACGUGAAAUCCCUGGGCUCAACCCAGGAACUGCGUCCGAUACUGGUUGGCUUGAAUCCGGGAGAGGGAUGUGGAAUUCCAGGUGUAGCGGUGAAAUGCGCAGAUAUCAGGAGGAACACCAAUGGCGAAGGCAGCACUCUGGGACGUGACUGACGCUGAGACGCGAAAGCGUGGGGAGCAAACAGG
rnacentral:rRNA from 1 species